rnacentral:rRNA from 1 species
AGAGUUUGUAGUCCUGGCUCAGGACAACGCUGGCGGCGUGCUUAACACAUGCAAGUCGAACGAUGAAGCCCAGCUUGCUGGGUGGAUUAGUGGCGAACGGGUGAGUAACACGUGAGUAACCUGCCCUUGACUCUGGGAUAAGCACUGGAAACGGUGUCUAAUACCGGAUAUUUCAGCUGGCCGCAUGGUCUGGUUGUGGAAAGAAUUUGGUCAAGGAUGGACUCGCGGCCUAUCAGGUUGUUGGUGAGGUAAUGGCUCACCAAGCCUACGACGGGUAGCCGGCCUGAGAGGGUGACCGGCCACACUGGGACUGAGACACGGCCCAGACUCCUACGGGAGGCAGCAGUGGGGAAUAUUGCACAAUGGGCGAAAGCCUGAUGCAGCAACGCCGCGUGAGGGACGACGGCCUUCGGGUUGUAAACCUCUUUUAGUAGGGAAGAAGCGAAAGUGACGGUACCUGCAGAAAAGCACCGGCUAACUACGUG